UACGUAGGGGGCUAGCGUUGUCCGGAAUCAUUGGGCGUAAAGCGCGUGUAGGCGGUUUGGUAAGUCCGCUGUGAAAGUCGGGGGCUCAACCCUCGAAUGCCGGUGGAUACUGUCGAACUAGAGUGCGGAAGAGGCGAGUGGAAUUCCUGGUGUAGCGGUGAAAUGCGCAGAUAUCAGGAAGAACACCCGUGGCUAAGGCGGUUCUCUAGUACGGUACUGACGCUGAGACGCGAAAGCGUGGGGAGCGAACAGG
rnacentral:rRNA from 1 species